rnacentral:rRNA from 1 species
GAGUUUGAUCAUGGCUCAGAUUGAACGCUGGCGGCAUGCCUUACACAUGCAAGUCGAACGGCAGCACGGGAGCUUGCUCCUGGUGGCGAGUGGCGAACGGGUGAGUAAUGCAUCGGAACGUAUCCUGGAGUGGGGGAUAACGUAGCGAAAGUUACGCUAAUACCGCAUAUUCUGUGAGCAGGAAAGCGGGGGACCUUCGGGCCUCGCGCUCUUGGAGCGGCCGAUGUCGGAUUAGCUAGUUGGUGAGGUAAAGGCUCACCAAGGCGACGAUCCGUAGCAGGUCUGAGAGGAUGAUCUGCCACACUGGAACUGAGACACGGUCCAGACUCCUACGGGAGGCAGCAGUGGGAAUUUGGACAAUGGGGGCAACCCUGAUCCAGCCAUGCCGCGUGAGUGAAGAAGGCC